GCUGGGCUCAGUUACGUGGGCCUGUGACCCAAGUGGGGGCAUUAAAGUUAUAGGAGCGUCAAGAGCUAGGGGCCACUUUG
rnacentral:SRP_RNA from 11 species